rnacentral:rRNA from 1 species
UACGUAGGGGGCUAGCGUUGUCCGGAAUCAUUGGGUGUAAAGAGCGUGUAGGCGGCCCGGUAAGUCCGCUGUGAAAGUCGGGGGCUCAACCCUCGAAUGCCGGUGGAUACUGUCGGGCUAGAGUGCGGAAGAGGCGAGUGGAAUUCCUGGUGUAGCGGUGAAAUGCGCAGAUAUCAGGAGGAACACCAAUUGCGAAGGCAGCUCGCUGGGACGUAACUGACGCUGAGACGCGAAAGCGUGGGGAGCGAACAGG